CUAAAAUCUUUACCGAGAGAGGCGAUCUCCAGAUACAUAAUUAAACAGGAGGAAAUUGAGUUGUCUUCACCACCGUGACCUGAAGGAGAUGGAGAAAUUGGUGUUGGAGAAGGCAGAGUAAUGAGGCCUGGUCUUUGCACCUAACUGAUGCAGGUGGCAAGUCUUUAUCAAGGGCCUAUGGGUGAGCCUGCUUCUAACAACUCCCUCAAAAGGCUCUGUAACCCGUCCAAAAGAUGAUGUCAAGUGCUACAAGGACCCAGGUCAGCCUGCAUCAUAGCAGAGCCAUGGCUGUGGGGGCAGCUCAUGAAUCCACCAGAGCCCGAACGGCAACCUCGCUCCCAUUAUCCAUCUGCUCUGCUUCCUCACAAAGGUUUAAGUACAAGAUUGAUUACGCAUGUCGGACAAUGUGAAGUACCUCAGAGUGAGGACAGGAGGGGCCAUCUCUCACUCUGGACAAAAGAAAGAAGUUGGACACCCACAAGAUAAAUGGGGAAAACUCAAGCACGAAGUAUGCAGCAGAUACCUGUGGUGUUUCAUUGUGGUU